rnacentral:rRNA from 1 species
UACGUAGGGUGCAAGCGUUGUCCGGAAUUAUUGGGCGUAAAGAGCUCGUAGGCGGCCUGUCGCGUCGGCUGUGAAAACCCGGGGCUCAACCCCCGGGCCUGCAGUCGAUACGGGCAGACUAGAGUGCGGUAGGGGAGACUGGAAUUCCUGGUGUAGCGGUGAAAUGCGCAGAUAUCAGGAGGAACACCGGUGGCGAAGGCGGGUCUCUGGGCCGAUACUGACGCUGAGGAGCGAAAGCGUGGGGAGCGAACAGG